CUGGCAUUGUUUCUCUGCCACUCUGAGUUGCAACCUGGAGGGCCUGGCCUUGCAUUGACUUUUUGCCACCUCUUUCAUCUCAGCUAGAUUCAACCAUCUAUUUAAGCCUUCUUAAAACUAACCAUUUGAUUAUCUGCAUUUAGAAGCUGCUUGCUGCUCAAGUUAUCAAUAGAGUUGAUUUACAUGAAAAUAUGGAUUGGAUGUGAGUUUUAGCUAAAUGUGCAGUCAUACGGCCUAAUGUGUGUUGAGGCAAGAACAGGUGCAGUGAUUAGCACAGUGGAGACUCCGAAACCCAGGGGUAAAUGCACUCUCUCUUUAGAUUCUCUCCAGGCUGCACCUCUCCAUUGUCCUGCUCUGUGCUCUGCUUGAAUGCUUUUGCCAGGCUGACAUGUUUCCUCGAAGUGUGAUAUGCCUCUUGCUUUCCUGGACAGGGGGAUAGAUUUGUGCGUGCGUUACUAUGUGCAUGUAGGAACAUCAGACUUCUGCUGAGAGUGGGAUCUGAAGUUGGAACUUCUGAAAGAAAGUGAACAGGGCAAUGUGCAGCACAGUGGAACAAUUGGGAGGCCAGGUGAUUCAGCACCCUGGCAUCUGUUUCAGCGAUGCAAAGCUUUUCAGGCCUGGUGGCGUGCAUCUAUCAUUUCAGGGCAAUGAGGCCUGGCUACAGGAUAGCUACAGGGGCUUGUGUGAUUGCUUGUAGACGUGAGUGGUUUGGUGGCAAGACAGUGAGGAGAGGCUGACUCAGAUGGCAGAAAAAGGAAUUGGGUUGGAUUCUUAGUCUAAACUGGAACAAGGGUACCCGGGUAAAACGGUCCGGGGGGGGGGGGAGUUUUGUCUGAAGGCCUAGAUGGGGGCUAAUGGGUCAUAUAACUCCCCCAAUGGUGUCCUGGUGGGUUUGGCCUAUUUGAUCCUGCGUCAUGGGGGGAAUCCUUUAUCUCUGGAUUGACCCUGGUGGAGUAAUCAACCAGCAAAUGGGUUAGUUGGUUCAGGAUCCAUACCCAAUGCCUAUGCCAAAGCCUACUGGCAUAUAUAAUCAAUAAAAUUGUGGCCAUUUUGAUCCCAAGUUGUUGUGCAAUGUCUUUAGUGCUGCUUUCACACCCCUUGCCCCUGGUAAGCCCUGCACCUGGGUCCUCAAGGUUGCUCAUGAAGGAAUGCGGCCUUUGGGCAGAAAAAGAGUCCUCACCCCCAUGUAGAACAAUCUGAGCUCCUUAGAGGAGGACUGAGAUAUAUAAUAUCUACCAGCACCAAUGAGACAUAGAUUGAAUUCCUACUCCCUCACCUCUGGAUUUUAUAGGUCACAGUCCUAGCGUAUUGUAACAUUUUGAGGUGGAUUUCCUAGCUCUCCAGAUGGAAUUGAAAUAUUAGCUACCCACAUUUACAGAAGUGUGAGAGACACCAGAUCAUAUGCUCAGAUCAUUCAAUUUCUCUUAAGGCAGAGAAUACAGCCUUGGCUGCAAUAUCCAUCAGGAGCAAACUGAUCUAUACAAUCUUCAAAUGGUUAAAUGAGCAUACACCGUACCUUUGAUGAAAGCGAAUUGUGCAGCAUGCCAGCUUGACAACAUAAUGAACAGGAAAUUGCACUCUCUGCCAGGCGGCAGAAGUUACUGGCACUGCUGCACCAAUGCUGGGGAAAUGCCCUUAUACAGCAGACACAGACACAGCACAUGUGUGAGAGUUUGGAUUUAAAGAAAAUGUGGCUAACUAGCUAUCCAGCUAGAUGAAAUGAAGGGAAGCUGUCUGUGGUGAGCCAUAGCUGGAAAAAAAAGCACCUGAUCACAGCCAGAGAUAAAAAGCCUGGAGAAUAUUUGGAACUGGAGGGUGUGGGGAAGAGAAGUACAGCACAGUGAGAGGCUGAAAGGCAGAGUAAGGAGAAAGUUUCCUCCACCUUUGGGGCUCAUGAGUGUCGCUUCUACAGCCUUGCCACCAUCACCACAUCUGGCUUCGUCAAAUGGAAGGCAC